ensembl:lncRNA
CUCAGUGCCCCAAAGACUCCCCAAUAACAAUGACAGUGUAGGUUAAAAAUUGCAUCAAGCUUGUUUUCAAUGUCAUCUCUUUUCAAAAAAAAAAAAAAAAAAACACGACUCAAUUCAGGAGUCCGGGAUCAAUGUCCGCUCUCUGAGAGAGCGGUGGUUCUGUGAAAACAGACGAGUGCACUCAAGGAAUCGUAACCAGGUGUAGGCGGAAAUACCUGGAGAAUUCCUUGCUCCUGGAAUGUUUUUAUUAGCCUUUUUACAAAUGUCGCCAUUUCGAGGUGUGUACACUAUAAAGUGCACUGCAGGCCGGAUCACUCCAUCAAGCGGCGCGGGGCUUCAAUGGGGAACCUGUGUUGAAGCUGGGGUGAUGCUAUUUGAACAGCUGGCACAGUUUAGCUCGGCAUGUUCGAAUGUGCACGGGUUCCAAACUGUCGUACCACACUGAGGGGGGAAAAAAAACACAGGCCUCCGCGAGCUUUCAUCAGGAUGGAAUACUUUAUACAGUGUCUUUAUACUGGAGGUGUUGAUCGAACCGUGGAGUUAACCCUCUGACAUCGAUGUGUCAGACGUCACUGCAAACAAAACAGAAAAUGACUUGACAAUGCCUGUCCACGUUGUGCAGUUAAAACAUGAGGUUUAAAACAGGAGCUUCGUUCCUGGAAAACAAGGGAAGCGAGAAAUUGAAAACACUUUUGCGAAAAACAGUCUCACAUUUGCACAGGUGUGCUAUCAGGUCAGUGCAAGUUUUAGUGGCGUGUGUUUGGCAAAGUAGUGAGAGUAUGGCUCGAUAAAUUAUACAACCGUCAUUGUGCGACACAAGUUGUUUGAGAGUUUGUAAAUGGAUGUUUUUGUUUCAUUUUGCAGCUAUCUGUCUAUGUUUAUGUUUAGUGCACCGUGAAGGAAGGCCAAAAAACCAACUAUGCUUUCUUCAAGGCAGCAUGACAAGAAUGUAUAUUAACUUUUUACUUCCCAACAUGAGUCUGGUCAGCACUUUGAAUUGUCACGUGUCCAAAGGCCUCUCUGAAACUUUCCAGUCUUUUCAGAGUGGCCCACUACAAGCCCCUGAGAGCCUGCCCGUUCUCAUUUAUCAAAUAAAAAGCACCUUUCUUAGCACUGCGGAGAGGAAAAAAACAACAUUUCCACAGCCAGUGAAGCCGUGCGUGUGUGUAUGUGUGAGUGUGUGUGUUAUGACGAUUGUGAGAUUCAAUACAAACAGGAAUGAAUGUUUUUCACGCUCGCGUCAUAUAGAAUAUUUAAAUGUGACAUUUGAGAUUGUAUAUGCAUAACUGGCCUAUUAGUUACUUUGGGAAAUACCUUAUUUUAACAUUCAGCCUGUACAUCAGUCAUCAUGCAAAUGAUUGUCAGACAAUCCCGCAGUCCUCGCGUCAGAAACCAGCGGAUCUCUCGGCAGAAACGGCGACAAGCGCAACAGGGUUGUGAUGUAAAUGUGACUCCAAUCGACACCGCAGCCCCCGU